AUUGAACGCUGGCGGCAUGCUUUACACAUGCAAGUCGAGCGGUAACAGGCCUUCGGGUGCUGACGAGUGGCGAACGGGUGAGUAAUGCAUCGGAACGUACCCAGAGGUGGGGGAUAACGCAGCGAAAGCUGUGCUAAUACCGCAUGUGAUCUGAGGAUGAAAGCGGGGGACCGAGCAGCAAUGUUUGGCCUCGCGCCUUUGGAGCGGCCGAUGUCGGAUUAGCUAGUUGGUGGGGUAAAGGCCUACCAAGGCGACGAUCCGUAGCUGGUCUGAGAGGACGACCAGCCACACUGGGACUGAGACACGGCCCAGACUCCUACGGGAGGCAGCAGUGGGGAAUUUUGGACAAAGGGCGCAAGCCUGAUCCAGCAAUGCCGCGUGCGGGAAGAAGGCCUUCGGGUUGCAAACCGCUUUUGGCAGGAACGAAACGGUGUCCGCUAAUACCGGGCGCUAAUGACGGUACCUGCAGAAUAAGCACCGGCUAACUACGUG
rnacentral:rRNA from 1 species